GAUGAACGCUAGCGGCAGGCUUAAUACAUGCAAGUCAAGGGGCUCGCAAGAGCACCGGCGGACGGGUGCGUAACGCGUACACAACGUACCUCAGAGCGGGGGAUAGCAUUGGGAAACUGGUGGUAAAACCCCAUGGUGUUGCUGAAUGGCAUCAUUUAGCAACUAAAGUUUACACUUUGAGAUCGGUGUGCGUCUGAUUAACUAGUUGGCGGGGUAACGGCCCACCAAGGCGACGAUCAGUAGGGGGUGUGAGAGCAUGACCCCCCACAUGGGUACUGAGACACGGACCCAACUCCUACGGGAGGCAGCAGUAAGGAAUAUUGGACAAUGGGCGCAAGCCUGAUCCAGCCAUGCCGCGUGAAGGAUGAAGGCGCUCAGCGUUAGUAAACUUCUUUUGGGACGGGAACAAAUAACUUCGACUUGUCGAGGCUUGGAGGGUACCGUCAGAAUAAGCACCGG
rnacentral:rRNA from 1 species